rnacentral:rRNA from 1 species
GACGAACGCUGGCGGCGUGCCUAAUACAUGCAAGUCGAGCGAAGUUUUUCUGGUGCUUGCACUAGAAAAACUUAGCGGCGAACGGGUGAGUAACACGUAAAGAACCUGCCUCAUAGACUGGGACAACUAUUGGAAACGAUAGCUAAUACCGGAUAACAGUAUUUCUCGCAUGAGAGAUAUUUAAAAGUUGGUUAUGCUAACACUAUGAGAUGGCUUUGCGGUGCAUUAGCUAGUUGGUGGGGUAAAGGCCCACCAAGGCGACGAUGCAUAGCCGACCUGAGAGGGUGAUCGGCCACACUGGGACUGAGACACGGCCCAGACUCCUACGGGAGGCAGCAGUAGGGAAUCUUCCGCAAUGGGCGAAAGCCUGACGGAGCAACGCCGCGUGAGUGAAGAAGUAUUUCGGUUCGUAAAGCUCUGUUGUUAGGGAAGAAUGGAUAUGUAGUAACUAUACAUGUAAGAGACGGUACCUAACCAGAAAGCCACGGCUAACUACGUG